rnacentral:misc_RNA from 1 species
AGUCGUAACAAGGUUUCCGUAGGUGAACCUGCGGAAGGAUCAUUAACCUUUCAAAACAGGGUGCGUCGCGGCCCCCGAGGUGCGGAAACAAGCCUCGAGCGGUUUGGGGUCCUCCCCUUCACGCGCGCACGACUGCCAUCCUUACUUUACGAGCACCUUCUGUUCUCCCUCGGCGGGGCAACCUGCCGUUGGAACCGAAUAAACUCUUUUUGCAUCUAGCAUUACCUGUUCCGAAACAAACAAUCGUUACAACUUUCAACAAUGGAUCUCUUGGCUCUGGCAUCGAUGAAGAACGCAGCGAAAUGCGAUAAGUAGUGUGAAUUGCAGAAUUCAGUGAAUCAUCGAAUCUUUGAACGCACAUUGCGCCCCUCGGUAUUCCGUGGGGCAUGCCUGUUCGAGCGUCAUCUACACCCUCAAGCUCUGCUUGGUGUUGGGCGUCUGUCCCGCCUCCGCGCGUGGACUCGCCCCAAAUUCAUUGGCAGCGGUCCUUGCCUCCUCUCGCGCAGCACAUUGCGCUUCUUGAGGGGCUCCGGUUCGCGUCCAACAAGCACAUUUACCGUCUUUGACCUCGGAUCAGGUAGGGAUACCCGCUGAACCUAAGCAUAUCAAU